CCUCUAAUCAGUGAAACUGAUCUCCCCGUGAAGAAGCGGGGAUAUACAUAUAAGACGAGAAGACCCCAUGGAGCUUUAAACCUGACAGCACCCGCUCAUUCUAUACCCCAUUAUUUGCCCGACCCCUGUCUGCUCAGUUUUAGGUUGGGGUGACCACGGAGUAUAAAGUAACCUCCAUGAAGAAGGGGAUAUUUCCCUUAUUAGAGAACCACACUUCCAAGAACUAAUAAAUUAAUUUUCAAUGACCCGAUACCCGAUAAUCGAUCAACGAACCAAGUUACCCUGGGGAUAACAGCGCAAUCCACCCUGAAAGCCCUUAUUAACAGGUGGGUUUACGACCUCGAUGUUGGAUCAGGGUAUCCCAGUGGUGCAGCAGCUACUGAGGGUUCGUUUGUUCAACGAUUAA
rnacentral:rRNA from 1 species